GGGCGCAUGCGCACCUUUUGGCGGGAAGAAGACCCCUCCCCCAUCCUUGCCGUCCCAACUGCCUGCCUUGGCGAAGGGGAGGGACAGCCAAGCCACUCCCGCCAGAAACCCUGAGCCCAGCUGCAGUACGGGGCGGGGCAUGGCGUCCCCACAUUCCACGGGAACACCUGAGUGGCACCCGCGGUGGCGGCUUCCGCCCUCCGACUGGGCUGGGUGCGGUGCUGCUCGGGCCCAGCUGCCGAGUCAGACACUAGCAGCCCCACAACCAGCGAGAAGAAGAUGGCCCAGAGCUUCUCCAACUCCUCAGAGGAAUCCGACUUGGAUACCUCCAUGGAAGAAACCAUACGUGAUACUAUCUGGGCCAGAGCGGAGAAGCCCAGCAGUGCCAGGAGAGCCUGGGCAACUCACCAGUGAACUUCCUCAUCAAGAAGCUGCAGCAGAUGAGAACAAAGAGAAAGACCCACAUACCGUUGGCUCUUCAAAUCGGUGUGGUUCAUGCAAUGAAAUAAUGCUCCAAAGAAGGGGAAAAUCCUCCACAAGGAACAGAGAACCCCAUUGA
rnacentral:lncRNA from 1 species